GACGGAGGGGGCAAGCGUUGUCCGGACUCACUGGGCGUAAAGCGCACGUAGGCGGUUGGCUGCGUCGGUGCUGAAAGCGCCAGGCUUAACCUGGCGAGGCGUGCCGAUACGAGCCGACUAGAGGCAGGCAGAGGGUGGCGGAAUUCCGGGUGUAGUGGUGAAAUGCGUAGAGAUCCGGAGGAACGCCUGUGGCGCAAGCGGCCACCUGGGCCUGACCUGACGCUGAGGUGCGAAAGCGUGGGGAGCGAACCGGAUUAGAUACCCGGGUAGUCCACGCAGUAAACGAUGCCAGCUCGGUGUCUGGGGCCGUUAUGGCCCUGGGUGCCUUAGCUCACGCGGUAAGCUGGCCGCCUGGGGACUACGAGCGCAAGCUUAAA
rnacentral:rRNA from 1 species